rnacentral:rRNA from 1 species
GCCCCAAAACCAGCCAACCAAAUACCCAAAACCCCUUCCCCCCACCAACCAAAACAUUUGCCUCGGCCAGUAAAUGAGAUUAAACCCCACCUUUUGGCCUUAAAAGUACCGCAAGGGAAAAAAUGAAAGAAUAAUGAAAACCAAAGCAUUAAAAAGCAAAGAUAUCCCCCCGUACCUCCUGCAUCAUGGUCUAGCAAAACACCCUCAGACAAAGAGACCUUUAGCCUGAUACCCCGAAACCAAACGAGCUACUUUUUGGCAGCAUUAAUAGAGCACAUCCGUCCCUGUGGCAAAAGGGUGGAAAGACCAAAAAAUAGAGGCGAAAGGCCUAUCGAGCUUGGUGAUAGCUGGUUACUCAUAAAAGAAUUUAAGUUCAACUUUAGGUUUACACAAGAUUACUUAGAACUUCUCCCUUCAACCUAAGGAAACUCAACAGGGGUACAGCCCUGUUGAACCGGAAUACAGCCCGAACCGAGAGAUUUUUUUCCUUUCCCUUCCCAGUGGGCCUCAAAGCAGCCACCAAAAAUUGCGUUACAGCAUAAACUAAAUAAUUUUAAUAAUUUUCGCUACCUCCCGAUACAAUACGAGUUAUUCUAUACCAAUAUAGAAAAACCAAUGCUAGAAUUAGUAAUAAGAAACAAUUAUUUCUCUUCGCAUCCUCUUGAAUCAGAACAGAAAAACUACUGAUACUUAACAAAUUAAACCAACCACUUUUCUCAACACUAGCUUAAAUGUUAUUCACACUGUCACCCCAACACAGGCAUGCAAAAAAGAAAGGCAAAAAGCCGUAAAAGGAACUCGGCAAUGAAGCUGUCCCAACUGUUUACCAAAAACAUAGCCUUUAGCUCUUUACAAGUAUUAAAGGUCCCGCCUGCCCAGUGACUCUUUAAACGGCCGCGGUAUCCUAACCGUGCAAAGGUAGCAUAAUCACUUGUCCCUUAAAUCGGGACUGGAAUGAAUGGCUUAAUGAGGACUAAACUGUCUCUUACGACCUGGCCAAUGAAAUUGAUCUCCCAGUACAAAAGCUGGGAUAUACCCAUAAGACGAGAAGACCCUGUGGAGCUUCAAAACCAAACCACCCAACAUGGCUCCUUGGAUUUUUAGUUGGGGCGACUUCGGAACAUAACAAAACUUCCAAAGCAUGAAAUUAGUUUCAUCAAGAUUAACACACCAAAAUUACCACACAAGACCCAGCAAUUAUUUGACUGAUCAAUGAACCAAGUUACCCCAGGGAUAACAGCGCAAUCUCCUUUUAGAGUCCAUAUCGACAAGGGGGUUUACGACCUCGAUGUUGGAUCAGGACAUCCCAAUGGUGCAGCCGCCAUUAAAGGUUCGUUUGUUCAACGAUUAAUAGUCCUACGUGAUCUGAGUUCAGACCGGAGAAAUCCAGGUCGGUUUCUAUCUAUGCAGUACUAUCUUUAGUACGAAAGGACCAAGAUAGUAGGACCUCUUCCAAAAGAACGUCCUAAUUAAAACCACUGAUUACUGCUAAAGUAACAGAUAUGCUCCUUCCACGCCCUAAAAUAGGGCUU